rnacentral:rRNA from 1 species
UACGUAGGUGGCAAGCGUUGUCCGGAAUUACUGGGCGUAAAGAGCGCGCAGGCGGCUGGUCAAGUCCGAUGUGAAAGCUCCCGGCUUAACUGGGAAAUUGCAUCGGAAACUGAUCGGCUUGAAGGUGGGAGAGGGUAGUGGAAUUCCCGGUGUAGUGGUGAAAUGCGUAGAUAUCGGGAGGAACAUCAGUGGCGAAGGCGGCCAUCUGGGACAACACUGACGCUGAAGCACGAAAGCGUGGGGAGCAAACAGG